rnacentral:lncRNA from 10 species
GUCUCGAACUCCUGACCUCGGAUGAUCCGCCCACUUCGACCUCCCAAAGUGCUGGGAUUACAGGAGUGCACCACCAUGUAUUUUUAGUAGAGACGGGGUUUCACUGUGUUGGCCAGGCUGGUCUUGAACUCCUGACCUCAUGAUCCGCCUGCCUCAGCCUCCCAAAGUGCUGGGAUUACAAGCGUGAGCAACUGCACCCUGCCUUUCUUAUUUAUUUAUUUUUUUUGAGAUGGAGUUUCACUCUUGUCGCCCACUCUGGAGUGCAAUGGAGCAAUCUUGGCUCACUGCAACCUCCGCCUCCCAGGUUCAAGCAAUUAUCCCUCCUCAGCCUCCUGAGUAGCUGGAACUACGGGUGUGCACCACCACACCUGAGGAAUUUUUUGUAUUUUUAGUAGAGACAGGGUUUGAACAUGUUGGCCAGGCUGGUCUCGAACUCCUGACCUCAGGUGAUCUGCCCACCUCAGCUUCCCAAAGUGCUGUGAUUACAGGUGUGAGCCACCGAGCCCAGCCAAGACAAACUAUUUUGUUACUAUUGUGACAUGUUUCAAAAUCUAGCUUCAAGGCUGGCCUUGGCCAAUGAGGAGAUCUGUGACUGCAAACACCUAGGUGUUCUGUGAAAAGAAAUGACUGCAAAAAAGAGCACACGUGCAAUCACCAGCACUGAGACAAAGGCUGAGUACACACAGAACCAUGGACAGCAUGCACCCAAGACCAUGCAAUGCCAGCCAAGCAGAAGGAUGCAGUGCUACCUUUUUUCAUGGUAACAAACAUGAAACUAAGCAGGAAUGGCACAUUUAUUAAUAAAGAACAUGAAAAGAUGGUUCCGGGACACUAGAAAGAAUCACCAACACUGGACACUAAAAGAAAAAGCAAGUUACCUCUUCUUCCCAUUAUCCUUCGUUUUUAUAGAUAAAUCACCAUGCCUGAAUAAGCCCACACAUCUUACAGGCAUUUUUUGACCCAACUGUUUAUACAGACGGGUCCCACGAAAAACAAGUAUUUGCCUGGGGCCCUGCACACCCUAGAGGCAGCACUUGGCACUGGUUCUGAUGGUGUUGGUUCCACUGCUGGGCUGGCUGCGUUAUCAGGUAUGUGCAGUGGGGUGGCAAUGGCAAUGGGGUGUACACCUGAGCCAUACAGGUGCUCCUCAACUUAUGGGGUUACAUUCCAAUAAGCUCAUCAUUAAGCUGAAAAUAUCAUAAAGUCAAAAAUGCAUGUAAUAUACCUAACCUACCAAACAUCACAACCUAGUCUGGCCUACCUUAAACAUGCUGAGGACACUGUGGUACCCUCCACUGGGCAAGAUAGUCAAACACAAACCUUAUUUUAUAAUACGGUGUUGACUAUCUCAUGUAAUCUACUGAAUACUGUACUGAAACUGAAAAGCAGAAUGGUCGUAUGGGGGGCUUGAAGUACAGCUAAUAACGCAUGUCACUUUUGCACUAUCCUAAAGUUGAACGCCCUAAGUCAAACCACUGU